GCUGUGUGUGGUGCCCUACCCGGAAGGUACUGAUCACCUAGCCUAUGUGUCAUUAGUACCUGUCUGGGUAGAGUAACUCUCAACAAGAACAACAU
ensembl:miRNA